rnacentral:rRNA from 1 species
GACGAACGCUGGCGGCGUGCUUAACACAUGCAAGUCGAACGGAGAGGCCCUGCUUUUGUGGGGUGCUCGAGUGGCGAACGGGUGAGUAACACGUGAGUAACCUGCCCUUGACUUUGGGAUAACUUCAGGAAACUGGGGCUAAUACCGGAUAGGAGCUCCUGCUGCAUGGUGGGGGUUGGAAAGUUUCGGCGGUUGGGGAUGGACUCGCGGCUUAUCGGCUUGUUGGUGGGGUAGUGGCUUACCAAGGCUUUGACGGGUAGCCGGCCUGAGAGGGUGACCGGCCACAUUGGGACGGAGAUACGGCCCAGACUCCUACGGGAGGCAGCAGUGGGGAAUAUUGCACAAUGGGCGGAAGCCUGAUGCAGCAACGCCGCGUGCGGGAUGACGGCCUUCGGGUUGUAAACCGCUUUCGCCUGUGACGAAGCGUGAGUGACGGUAAUGGGUAAAGAAGCACCGGCUAACUACGUG